GCCAAAUGCCUCGUCAUCUAA
rnacentral:ncRNA from 3 species